UACGAAUCUGCUAAUUGUAAAAAUUUCAAUAUGGCAGGGCGCAAAAUAUUUCACACAAAUGCAAAUAGAGAUGUCAUGCAGUUAGCUGCAGGACAUGAAUCAUUGCCCUGCUGCAUCAAACUCGAAAAUCAGAGGCAGUUCACUCGGCAAGAUUUCUUACCCAGUUCUUAAAAGUUCAGAUGCAUUACCUUUUUAAUCAGUGAAAUAAACUAUAAUUGCUAACAUACUGUGUAAUGUUUACCGCUAAACCCACAAUCUGGACAAACAGAAAAUUAUGCUGUCAGAGCCUGGAAACAACUGCAGUCCGCUGUUUCACACAGCACCCUCCUUACACAGGGCUGUCUUUGGGAGUUACAAUGCCUUAUGGCUUUAAUUUUUUAGCGUAAGGGUCAUUUCCCCAGAGGCAGGUGUUAGGACGAAAGCAGUCUCCCGCGUGACCUUCCUAACACAGACCUUGAGCAAGAGACUGCGGGGGCAGAAAGCUGAGAAUUUCAGAAGGCACUUGACAGCUCCACUGGGUCCUUCACACUUGGCUUUCAGGAACAACAAAAAAAGCAUGUUACUCUGCACCUGCCUCUCCCCCCACCCUCCUUAAAACUUCAAUUACCUUUACCCCUGAGGGUCUGAAUAGUGGGAAGAAGAGGAGGUUCAAGGAGACUGGAGAGAAUGAAACAGCAGGUGCGUUCUGGCAUGCUUUUAUCCUACUCAAACUCCAAAGAAUCUGCGUUUCCCCUCUGCUCAGUAGCCUGGAUCUGGUUUCAGACCUGCCACGGUUCCCUCGGCAACACCUCCCUGCUCAGAGCUUGUCCCCCAGGUGACCUCCAUCCUGUUGGUUUCUACCAUGUUUAAGAUGCCGCUGCAGUGACUCAUGAGUUUAUGAGACGAUGGCUUCCAGCCAGUGUGCCAACAAUUCUUCCCAGAUGUGUCCACAUUGUUGCCUCCAGGAUCCCUUCUGGUGAAAUCCAGACACUCAGGAUAAGCCUGGCUAGCCAUUGCACCUGUAUUUGGAAAUAUCAUUGAAUAAACCUGGUUUCUAGAAAGUUCUUCUACCUUUGAAAAUAUUACAGAAUCUUGCUUUUAUUCGCUAACAAAUAUUGAAUAAACACCUACUUUGUACUCAGGGCCUAUUUCAGAGGUGCUUUAUCAGAAAUGUGCAAGCAGCAUUUUUUCGAAAUGCUCAAGCACCUCAGAGGAUCCUUCCCUUGGCCACAUUUUUCCUAGAGGCCUCUGUCCUGUUUCAAUCCAGACCUGUUUGCUCUGCAUCUGUGGCACAGCUGUUGUCCUGAGACUUCUUUUCAAAUUCUAAAAUAAAAUAGUCUUUCCGUACUAUCCAAAACCCAGCCAAACAAUUGAAGUGUGAAGGCAGAGUAAAUACAUUCAAAGAAUCAGAAAAUACACCUCCUACAUGCCCUAGAAAGCAACUGAAGGAUGGGCUUCAGCAAACAAAGGAAGGAUCCAAAGGAAGAAGGAAGCAUAGCGUAUCGGUUCUCCAAUGAAUAAAAUCCCUGCAUUAUCUUUGUUCCUGCCUGAGCAAGUGAAAUUCUAUUUGCUAAGAUCUCCAAAAGUGAAAAUCAUUUAUCACAUCAGAACCAAAACCAAAUGUAGGGAGAUCUGAGCAGCCUUCUGCGUCACCAUGUAAAACCACAAAGCCUUGAUAGUUGUGGCAUCAUGCUCGAAAUACACUUGAAGUUUAGACUAUGAAGAGAACCGGCGUUUAAAGCAAACACAUAUUUAGUUGGUAAGGAGUGGAGGAAAGAAGGUGUGCCAUCUACAGAAGUAUUUGGUGAUCCGUAGGUAAGAACACAACCACUGAACACAUAAAGUAACUCAGCCAGGGAUUUUGUUCUGAUAUAGUGAUGCUAAUUUUAACAACUUGAAAAAACAAAGGAAUGUCUGAAAUGAACAUCUCACCUGCUUCUGAGAUAAAGAACGUAAAAUCAAUAGUUCUGGGAAGGACCCACAUUUGUCUUCCUCUCUGCAGACCUCCCAGCAUCCCAAGAAUCAUUUCCAUCGCUUUCGAAGUCAGAAAUUCAGAUAUGAUGUUUGGAAGGGUAGCAGCUAUUUUGUGACUGUAAGGGUAAAAGUCAAAAGCUAAGGAUGAUGGAACAGGAAAAUAGAAGGAACCUGAGUAUUUGAAGGCCUACAUCAUUCCUUGAUUGCCUAUAUUCAGAUUUCUGCCUAUGUAAGAAAGAAAAUUAUGGCCUCUUUGGAUGGUUGCUCUGCAGGCUGCUACUAGAUGUUAACCAGCCUUGGCGAAGCCAGCUUCAUUGAUUGGCAAUGAGUCAAGAGGGUGGCAGUGGUCGAUCAAGCUUUUUGAGUGAACUUCGGCCUCCUGAUGAAGGUUGCAGAAUUCCUGAAAAUGCAACAAUUGGCCAACCCCAGCCCGCACUGCCUAGAGGUCUGUUGGAAGAGGGUGGAGCCCACAGCAGCACAGCUCCAUCAAACUGGAAACCAUAAGGCCCGGCUCUGGCUGCUGAAAUGGGGGUGGCGAGAUGUCGCCUUCAGUUCCUGACCUUGUAGUUCUUCAUCUUGCAGGAUCCCAUCAUCAUCACUCCUUACUCUCUCCGCAAGGUUGAAGAGGAUUCAGAGAUUGAACAAUCAUUUGGUGAUUCUGUGUUUUCACUUCUGUUUGAGAAGGUCUUGUCCCACUCCAAAGACAGCAAUGGGAUCAGAUGGAGCCACAGUUGGGACCUACAUUGCAGCUAUGACAACAAUGGAUCCUCCUUUAACCCACUGUGCCAGGCAGGGAUGGAACCUGCAUCCCAGUGCUCCAGAGACAUCGCCAAUCCCAUUGCACCACAGCAGGUACCCUAACAUUUUAGAAUAGAGCACAUAUUUGAAAUAAGUUAUUUACUAAGCCUAUGGCAACUGCUUAAUGUGUAUGUUGACUGAGUUUAGGACUUGCAGUAAUUCUCCAGCCAGCCUGGAAGUUGCUGAAUUGAAAUAUUACAUAGGUAUGAAAGAUACCUCUUAUAAAACAUGACCCAGAGCAGAAGUUAGUUAAUUGAAAAAGUCAGUUAACUGUAAAAGCAUAAAAAUUCUCAUAUGUACCUUAACAUAUGUAAUUGUACAAUCAUUUAAUGAAAUCUGGGUUUGAUCCUGUGCCUUCUUCUGCCAUUAAAGUCAUGGAUUUUAGUUACAGCACAUGUGAUUUCGGCAUCAUGCACAGCUGAACUUCUGUAUCAACCCUCUCAUAGAUACCAAAAUCUGCCGAUACUCAAGUCCCUUAAAUAAAAUGGUGUGGUAUCUGCAUAUAAUCCAUACAGAUCCUGCUGUAUACUUAAAAUCAACUCUAGAUUAAUUAUAAUAGCUAAUAUAAAUGCUAUGCAAAUAGUUACAAUAUAAAUAUUACGUAAAUAAAUAGUUGUGGGUAUGCAGCAAAUUUUGCUUUUUGGAACUUACUGGAAUUUUUUUUUCUGCAAAUACUUCUGAUUCCCAUUUGGUUAGAUUUGUGGAUGCAAAACCAGGGGAUACAGAGGGCUGACUGUAAUUUCAUGUUUCCAACAUAGUAACACCAUCAAUUCACUGUUCUAUUUCAGUUCCUAUAAAUCACUAGAACCUGAGACCAACUGUUCCUUGUCAUCUUCAAGUUAGGAUGUUUUGGUAGGAUCUCAACCUUAAGCUACAGGCAUUCAUUCCUCAAGAUGUAGAAGAGAAUGAACUGGAAAUUUCAUUCCAAUAAUGGUAAGGAAGGUCUUUGUUGUUUUUUAACGAUUUUAUAAGACUUCCUGUAUUCUAUUUUUUUCCCAAAAUGAAGCUAAAAACCUUCCACAUAUAUAUAUAUUUUCUCUUAAAUAUGCCAGAACUGCCAAACUCCUGGAUCUAUAGACUCAAACAAAAAUGUUACAUUUACAGAGUUCCCAUCAUGGCGCAGUGGUUAACAAAUUCUACUAAGAUCCAUGAGGUUGCGGGUUCAAUCCCUGGCCUUGCUCAGUGGGUUAAGGAUCCAGGGUUGCCAUGAGCUGUGGUGUAG